rnacentral:rRNA from 1 species
GAUGAACGCUGGCGGCGUGCCUAAUACAUGCAAGUCGAGCGAACAGACGAGGAGCUUUCUCCUUUGACGUUAGCGGCGGACGGGUGAGUAACACGUGGAUAACCUACCUAUAAUACUGGGAUAACUUCGGGAAACCGGAGCUAAUACCGGAUAAUAUAUUGAACCGCAUGGUUCAAGAGUGAAAGACGGUUUUGCUGUUACUUAUAGAUGGAUCCGCGCCGCAUUAGCUAGUUGGUAAGGUAACGGCUUACCAAGGCAACGAUGCGUAGCCGACCUGAGAGGGUGAUCAGCCACACUGGAACUGAGACACGGUCCAGACUCCUACGGGAGGCAGCAGUAGGGAAUCUUCCGCAAUGGGCGCAAGCCUGACGGAGCCACGCCGCGUGAGUGAAGAAGGUCUUCGGGUCGUAAAGCUCUGUUGUUGGGAAAGAAAAACUGUGUAAUUAACUCUGCACGUCUUGACGGUACCUAAUGAGAAAGCACCGGCUAACUACGUG